UGACCCUAUAAAAUGGAGAUAUAUUAAUUUAAUGACUUGAGAGAAAACUUUAAGAGUCAUUGGAAAUGAUAAAGCAGCAACAAGAUGACCAUGUGCCAAAUCCCACACAAGCACGCGACAAUCAGCACCAGCUGAAGCUAAGAAUCGACCUUCAGCCGAAAAUGCAAGAGAAUAUAUUGGACCUUUAUGACCUGUCAUUAAUCUUACUUGACUACCGGUUACGCAAUCCCAUAAUCUCACGGUCAUAUCGCUAGAACCGGUUGCAAUGUAAUUUGAAUUAGGAUGAAACUGUACUACCUAUAAAACAGAUGUUAAUUUGCAUUUAAAAAUGUUAAAAUUUAAUGUUUAAUGUAAUUGGCAAUGACACUUUCUUAUAAUAAAACUUACAUCAACAUCAGA